rnacentral:tRNA from 1 species
CCUUCGAUAGCUCAGUUGGUAGAGCGGAGGACUGUAGCGUGUUCUAGCGGAAAUCCUUAGGUCGCUGGUUCAAAUCCGGCUCGAAGGA